CCUACGGGAGGCAGCAGUGGGGAAUAUUGCACAAUGGGGGAAACCCUGAUGCAGCGACGCCGCGUGAGUGAAGAAGUAUUUCGGUAUGUAAAGCUCUAUCAGCAGGGAAGAAAUAAAGUCCUUCGGACUUUGGACGGUACCUGACUAAGAAGCCCCGGCUAACUACGUGCCAGCAGCCGCGGUAAUACGUAGGGGGCAAGCGUUAUCCGGAAUUACUGGGUGUAAAGGGAGCGUAGACGGUUAAGUAAGUCUGAAGUGAAAGGCCGGGGCCCAACCCCGGGACUGCUCUGGAAACUAUUGAGCUUGAGUGCAGGAGAGGUAAGCGGAAUUCCUAGUGUAGCGGUGAAAUGCGUAGAUAUUAGGAGGAACACCAGUGGCGAAGGCGGCUUACUGGACUGUAACUGACGUUGAGGCUCGAAAGCGUGGGGAGCAAACAGGAUUAGAUACCCCAGUAGUC
rnacentral:rRNA from 1 species